UACCUACGGGGGGCAGCAGUGGGGAAUAUUGCGCAAUGGACGAAAGUCUGACGCAGCGACGCCGCGUGAGGGAUGAAGGUUUUCGGAUCGUAAACCUCUGUCAGGAGGGAAGAAAGCGCAAGGCGCCAAUCAGCCAUGCGUUGACGGUACCUCCAAAGGAAGCGCCGGCUAACUCCGUGCCAGCAGCCGCGGUAAUACGGAGGGCGCGAGCGUUAAUCGGAAUUACUGGGCGUAAAGCGCUCGUAGGCGGUAUGUCAAGUCAAGGGUGAAAUCCCCGCGCUCAACGUGGGAACUGCCUUUGAAAC
rnacentral:rRNA from 1 species